UUGUCGUAGUUGUGUCUAGGGGGACAUAUGGGGGAGGGAAUGCUGUCACCUCCAGGUAGGUGUUUUCUCCACCUGCGUGCUGAGGGCUUCUUGUCUAGUUCUGGCAUUUAGAUUGCCAAAGACUGGUCCAUGUCACUGGGCCUGGAAAUGGUUGAUCUCCUCCUCUAGGGUGAGCGAAGUGAGCUGAACAUCUGAAGUUCCGGGUCUUUUCCAAUGCAUGUAGCCAUGUGUUUAUCUUCUGUGCUGUCCAUUUCUCAGAGGCCAAACCCAGAGAGACGCCAUGACGUGAUGUACAGCACUGUGAUGCCUGAUCAGUUCAGGACAGAAGAGAAGGUCAACUUAUGGCUACAAGCAUCUCGGCUCUUAGACAACAUAAUGACUGUUACUCAUAAAACGUCACUGCCUUGGCAAAUGUGCAUCUGUUUUAGAAAACAAUUGUAUUUCCACUAUCACUUUCUGUCUUGGAACAAGCAAUAGGUAAAUGUACACUAUAACAGUAUAACAACACGUUUUUGUUACUUGGGCGUCUCUCUACCAACAGGAUCCAUUUCCUGAAGCUGAUGAUGAUGUCACAUACAGCACUGUCAUCCCCCAGCACAAGACCCAACUAAAAGGACAGACCAAGUCAGCAGAACCAGAUGAUAAUGUGGUCUACAGCUCACUAGCUCUACAGGUGACCACACAGCAGAGGGCAGCAGCACAGCAGUGACUGACAGAGAAGACCUUUGUCUCGUCAUUUUACUGGAAGGACAGAAAACUCCCUUCUCCUGUGUCACAACAUCUGUCUGCCUCCAAUAUUCUUCUGUCAUACCUCUUAACCCACCCCAGGUAGAUCCCUCUAUUCUUUAGUGUAAUAAACUACUGAAGACAGUCUGCUGUGUUUGUUUUCAUUAUCACCACAUACACUAUCUGUUAUAUUAGUUAUGUUCCAUCCACCUUUUCACCUUGUCUCUUGUUGUUUACAUGUUCAUCUUAUUUCUCUCAUAUAUAUAGUCAAAUGUCCAAUGCCAGUAACCAAUCAGGAGUGUAAAUUUAACGUACAAGCUGUGUAACAAAAUAAAUAUGAUGAUGAGGCUGAAUACAAAAUGUACAGUUCCAAUCAAAAGUAUUCACCCCCCUUGGUAUUUUUCCUAUUUUGUUGCAUUACAACCUGUAAUUUAAAUUGAUUAUUUGGGGAUUUAAUUUAAUGGACAUAC